GAUGAACGCUGGCUACAGGCUUAACACAUGCAAGUCGAGGGGAAACGACGGGGAAGCUUGCUUCCCCGGGCGUCGACCGGCGCACGGGUGAGUAACGCGUAUCCAACCUGCCUCUGACUGAGGGAUAACCCGUCGAAAGUCGGCCUAAUACCUCAUGGUAUCGUCUGCGGGCAUCCAACGACGAUCAAAGAUUUCAUCGGUCAGGGAUGGGGAUGCGUCUGAUUAGCUUGUUGGCGGGGUAACGGCCCACCAAGGCUACGAUCAGUAGGGGUUCUGAGAGGAAGGUCCCCCACAUUGGAACUGAGACACGGUCCAAACUCCUACGGGAGGCAGCAGUGAGGAAUAUUGGUCAAUGGGCGAGAGCCUGAACCAGCCAAGUAGCGUGCAGGAAGACGGCCCUAUGGGUUGUAAACUGCUUUUAGGCGGGGAUAAAGUGAGGGACGUGUCCCUCAUUGCAGGUACCGCAUGAAUAAGGACCGGCUAAUUCCGUG
rnacentral:rRNA from 1 species